AAGCGUUAUCCGGAAUGAUUGGGCGUAAAGCGUCUGUAGGUGGCUUCCCAAGUCAACUGUCAAAAAUCAGGGCUUAACCUUGAGCCGGCAGUUGAAACUAUGAAGCUUGAGUUAGGUAGGGGCAGAGGGAAUUCCUAGUGUAGCGGUGAAAAUGCGUAGAUAUUAGGAAGAACACCGAUCGCGAAAGCACUCUGCUGGGCCAUGACUGACACUGAGAGACGAAAGCUAAGGGAGCAAAUGGGAUUAGAUACCCCAGUAGUCUUAGCCGUAAACGAUGGAUACUAAGUUCUGGUCGAUUCAAAACCGUUCAGUUCUGUAGCUAACGCGUCAAGUAUCCCGCCUGGGGAGUAUGCUCGCAAGGGUGAAACUCAAAGGAAUUGACGGGGACCCGCACAAGCGGUGGAGCAUGUGGUUUAAUUCGAUGCAACGCGAAGAACCUUACCAGGGCUUGACAUAUUUCACAUUUCUUUGAAAAAAGAAAGUCCAAAUGAAAAUACAGGUGGUGCAUGGCU
rnacentral:rRNA from 1 species